AUGGGGCCUGGUCCCAGCGCCCCUCGCCUGCCGCCGGCUGCAAACUUUCCCCAACUCCAGGCCCACCUGUCACGGAGGGAGGGCGGGCCAGCUCUCGGGGGCGCCCGGGAGGCUGCCGGGGCCUCCAGCUGCCGGCGCGGCCCCCUCUCUCCGCCGCCCGCCGGCCCCACUCCCAGGCCGGGGCCGCCUGGGCCUCCCCCAUCUUCGGCCCGGCCCCUCGGCGACCCGCAGCCCUCAGGGAGCCGCUCCCGCCUCCGCGCCGAGGAGCUGCGGCCCGGCGCCGGCCCCGGGUGGGCCCAGGCCGCAGACUCCUCAGCGAGGGGGUCCCCCGGACGGUUAAUGCCCCAGGCCCGGCGGCCUCCCCCGCCCGGGGCUCAGCCUCUCACCUGCCGCCGCCUCCGCCGCCGCUCCACGCUCCUCCCGGGAGGGGCCCCGACCCGACCCGGCUGCGGACCGCUCCGCUCUCCCCCUGGGCAGGCCCGGGGCGGAGCCGGGGCCUCUCCUGAGCGCCGCAACCCCCCGCCCAGGCAGCCGCCGCCGGCGCCGGGCUCCACGAGAGGGCGGGCGGGGGAGGGGGGCCGCGGAGGCCGCAGAUCCCCGGGCUCGCGUACAGAGCCAGGCGCCCGACGCGGGCCCGGGCCCGGGCGGCCGCGGGGGGCGCGGGACCGGCCUCCUGGCGCCGGACAAAGGCCAAGGGAGGCGCAGGAGGGCCCAGGCCGGGCCGGGAGGAGGGGGCCCGCUCGGCUCGGGGCCACUCGGGUGCGGCGUGGAGGGCGGGGGGGUCGGAACCGCUGGUGCCCAGGACCCGCCUCCGGCCCCUUAAUCCGGAUCGGUUCGGUCCGGAUUAGUAGUGAUCGGUGUAAACACACUAGUGAAACCGCGUGUUUCCUCGCGAGAUUUGCACGGCUGGGAGGCAGGGGGGGUCCUGGGGGGGUGGGGGAAGAGCCGACAGUGGGGGAGGAGGGGGAGGGGACGAGGAAGGUGGGGGGGUCCCCGCUGCCCCGGCGCCCCGCCUCCUCCAAUCAGCGGCCGGGCUGGCGGGCAGGGGUUAACCAGGGGACCCCGCGCGGCGAAGGAGGCCGCCGCCUCGCCGGGCGGCUGGGCGCGGGCGGACGGGCGGCGCCGGCGGACGGGCCGCGCCGCGGAGGGAGGUCGGGCCGCCCCGAGACCUGCCCGGCCCGGAGCCCCGGAGCCCCGGAGCCCCCGAGCCCCGCUGCCGUCUUUGUAUGA
rnacentral:lncRNA from 1 species